rnacentral:rRNA from 1 species
GAGACAGUUCGGUCCCUAUCCUCCGCAGGCGCAAGGGAAUUGAGGAGAUCUGCCCCUAGUACGAGAGGACCGGGGUGGACGGACCUCUGGUGACGCGGUUGUCGACCAACGGCACCGCCGCCUAGCUACGUCCGGCACGGAUAACCGCUGAAAGCAUCUAAGUGGGAAGCCGUCUCCAAGAUGAGUUCCCUUUUUGGUAAGGGCCCAGGUAGACUACCUGGUUGAUAGACCGCAGCUGUAAGCGUAGCAAUACGUUCAGGCGAGCGGCACUAAUAGCCCGAGCUCUUCUUCAU